CGAAUGCUGACAUAAGUAACGAUAAAGCGGGUGAAAAGCCCGCUCGCCGGAAGACCAAGGGUUCCUGUCCAACGUUAAUCGGGGCAGGGUGAGUCGACCCCUAAGGCGAGGCCGAAAGGCGUAGUCGAUGGGAAACAGGUUAAUAUUCCUGUACUUGGUGUUACUGCGAAGGGGGGACGGAGAAGGCUAUGUUGGCCGGGCGACGGUUGUCCCGGUUUAAGCGUGUAGGCUGGUUUUCCAGGCAAAUCCGGAAAACUAAGGCUGAGGCGUGAUGACGAGGCACUACGGUGCUGAAGCAACAAAUGCCCUGCUUCCAGGAAAAGCCUCUAAGCAUCAGGUAACAUCAAAUCGUACCCCAAACCGACACAGGUGGUCAGGUAGAGAAUACCAAGGCGCUUGAGAGAACUCGGGUGAAGGAACUAGGCAAAAUGGUGCCGUAACUUCGGGAGAAGGCACGCUGAUAUGUAGGUGAAGUCCCUCGCGGAUGGAGCUGAAAUCAGUCGAAGAUACCAGCUGGCUGCAACUGUUUAUUAAAAACACAGCACUGUGCAAACACGAAAGUGGACGUAUACGGUGUGACGCCUGCCCGGUGCCGGAAGGUUAAUUGAUGGGGUUAGCGGUAACGCGAAGCUCUUGAUCGAAGCCCCGGUAAACGGCGGCCGUAACUAUAACGGUCCUAAGGUAGCGAAAUUCCUUGUCGGGUAAGUUCCGACCUGCACGAAUGGCGUAAUGAUGGCCAGGCUGUCUCCACCCGAGACUCAGUGAAAUUGAACUCGCUGUGAAGAUGCAGUGUACCCGCGGCAAGACGGAAAGACCCCGUGAACCUUUACUAUAGCUUGACACUGAACAUUGAGCCUUGAUGUGUAGGAUAGGUGGGAGGCUUUGAAGUGUGGACGCCAGUCUGCAUGGAGCCGGCCUUGAAAUACCACCCUUUAAUGUUUGAUGUUCUAACGUUGGCCCCUGAUCGGGGUUGCGGACAGUGUCUGGUGGGUAGUUUGACUGGGGCGGUCUCCUCCUAAAGAGUAACGGAGGAGCACGAAGGUUGGCUAAUCCUGGUCGGACAUCAGGAGGUUAGUGCAAUGGCAUAAGCCAGCUUGACUGCGAGCGUGACGGCGCGAGCAGGUGCGAAAGCAGGUCAUAGUGAUCCGGUGGUUCUGAAUGGAAGGGCCAUCGCUCAACGGAUAAAAGGUACUCCGGGGAUAACAGGCUGAUACCGCCCAAGAGUUCAUAUCGACGGCGGUGUUUGGCACCUCGAUGUCGGCUCAUCACAUCCUGGGGCUGAAGUAGGUCCCAAGGGUAUGGCUGUUCGCCAUUUAAAGUGGUACGCGAGCUGGGUUUAGAACGUCGUGAGACAGUUCGGUCCCUAUCUGCCGUGGGCGCUGGAGAACUGAGGGGGGCUGCUCCUAGUACGAGAGGACCGGAGUGGACGCAUCACUGGUGUUCGGGUUGUCAUGCCAAUGGCACUGCCCGGUAGCUAAAUGCGGAAGAGAUAAGUGCUGAAAGCAUCUAAGCACGAAACUUGCCCCGAGAUG
rnacentral:rRNA from 1 species